rnacentral:rRNA from 1 species
GGAGGUAGUGACAAUAAAUCACAAUGCGGGACUAUCAGUCUUGCAAUUGGAUUGAGAACAAUGUACAACUCUUAUCGAUAAGCCAUUGGAGGGCAAGUCUGGUGCCAGCAGCCGCGGUAAUUCCAGCUCCAAUAGCGUAUAUUAACGUUGUUGCAGUUAAAAAGCUCGUAGUUGAAGUGUGGGUGGUGCUGUCUGAAUGACUUCGGUUAGUCAGCUGAUCACUACCCCCUUCCAGUAUCCAGUAGUGGGUAUUCAGUUACUUACUAUUGUGUGUUGGUCCUUUACUGUGAGAAAAUUAGAGUGUUCAAAGCAGGCGUUUGCUUGAAUAGAUUAGCAUGGAAUAAUAAUUGAAGGCUUUCGUGUUCGAUUUGAUUGGUUUGUUCAUGGAAGCAAGGUUAAAAGGAACAGUUGGGGGUAUUCAUAUUCACUAGUUAGAGGUGAAAUUCUCGGAUUUAUGGAAGAUGAACAAGUGCGAAAGCA